rnacentral:rRNA from 1 species
UACGUAGGUGGCAAGCGUUGUCCGGAUUUACUGGGCGUAAGGAUGCGUAGGCGGACAUUUAAGUCAGAUGUGAAAUACCCGAGCUUAACUUGGGUGCUGCAUUUGAAACUGGGUGUCUAGAGUGCAGGAGAGGUAAGUGGAAUUCCUAGUGUAGCGGUGAAAUGCGUAGAGAUUAGGAAGAACACCAGUGGCGAAGGCGACUUACUGGACUGUAACUGACGCUGAGGUGCGAAAGCGUGGGGAGCAAACAGG